UACGGAGGGUGCAAGCGUUAUCCGGAUUCACUGGGUUUAAAGGGUGCGUAGGAGGGCAGGUAAGUCAGUGGUGAAAUCUCCAAGCUUAACUUGGAAACUGCCGUUGAUACUAUCUGUCUUGAACACCGUGGAGGUGAGCGGAAUAUGUCAUGUAGCGGUGAAAUGCUUAGAUAUGACAUAGAACACCAAUUGCGAAGGCAGCUCGCUACACGAAUAUUGACUCUGAGGCACGAAAGCGUGGGGAUCAAACAGG
rnacentral:rRNA from 1 species